CGAGUGGGGCCGAGUGGGGCCGAGGGGCGGGCAUCGGGAGCCCCUCCCGCAACGCGCUGAGGCGCCGGCAGGGAGGGGGCGUCCGCCAAAGCGGGGACCCCGUGAUGCUUUGACGGGGAGCACGCGAACGUCUGGCGAGACUUCGCGUCCCCGGAGCAAAUCAAGAUGGCGUUCCGGACGUUGACACGACGCAGGAGGGACGGCGGGGAGGCCGCGGGGCGUUCACGGUAUCGUCACCGGAAAAUAUUCCGAAGGGCAGAUCGAGUCUGAUGUGGCCUCCAGAUGAAACUAACAACACGAGCCCAGAAGCUUUGGAAUAUCAUCUAAGUCAGUGCUGGUCUCUUCUGAGGACCCGGCAGGAGAUCGUGGCACUGACAUUAGUGUGAAGUAUGGAUUGCUGGGGGCAAAGGUGAAAUGGAGCGGCCAGAUGGGAGAUCAUUUCAGCAGUGUGAGCAGUGAGCGUGGCCUGUGGAGUGGAGGUAAGUGACGAAAUGUCGCAAACGAAGUAAAGGAGGCCAAAGCACCUCCAUUUUGAUG